GGGCGGUUAGUUCAGCUGGUAGAACAAACGGCGGUAACCAAUCCGGCUGUAUGGUCUGCGGUUCGAGUCCGCAACCGCCCA
rnacentral:tRNA from 1 species